GAUGAACGCUGGCUACAGGCUUAACACAUGCAAGUCGUGGGGAAACGGCAUUAUGUGCUUGCACAUUCUGGACGUCGACCGGCGCACGGGUGAGUAUCGCGUAUCCAACCUGCCCCUUACUUGGGGAUACCCCGUUGAAAGACGGCCUAAUACCCGAUGUGUUUCAUUGACGGCAUCCGAUAUGAAACAAAGGUUUUCCGGUAAGGGAUGGGGAUGCGUCUGAUUAGCUUGUUGGCGGGGCAACGGCCCACCAAGGCGACGAUCAGUAGGGGUUCUGAGAGGAAGGUCCCCCACAUUGGAACUGAGACACGGUCCAAACUCCUACGGGAGGCAGCAGUGAGGAAUAUUGGUCAAUGGACGCAAGUCUGAACCAGCCAAGUAGCGUGCAGGAUGACGGCCCUAUGGGUUGUAAACUGCUUUUAUGUGGGAAUAAAGUGGCGCACGUGUGCGCCAUUGCAUGUA
rnacentral:rRNA from 1 species